rfam:Comamonas testosteroni KF-1 ctg14069, whole genome shotgun sequence.
CCUUGUGUGCGACCGCAAGUAGCCUACGGUGACGUGCAAGACCAGUAAUGGACUUGUGCGAAGCUCACCCGACAAAGUACCCCCGCGCAAGCGGCAUCUCUUACCCGUAAGGGCAGCGGUGGACACUGCCAGCAGAAAAGCGGUGAAGGGG